UACGUAGGGGGCAAGCGUUGUCCGGAUUUAUUGGGCGUAAAGAGCUCGUAGGUGGUUUGUCGCGUCUGCUGUGAAAUCCCGAGGCUCAACCUCGGGUCUGCAGUGGGUACGGGCAGACUGGAGUGCGGUAGGGGAGAAUGGAAUUCCUGGUGUAGCGGUGGAAUGCGCAGAUAUCAGGAGGAACACCGGUGGCGAAGGCGGGUCUCUGGGCCGUAACUGACGCUGAGGAGCGAAAGCAUGGGGAGCGAACAGG
rnacentral:rRNA from 1 species